rnacentral:rRNA from 1 species
UACGAAGGGGGCUAGCGUUGCUCGGAAUCACUGGGCGUAAAGCGCACGUAGGCGGCUUUCUAAGUCGGGGGUGAAAUCCCAGAGCUCAACUCUGGAACUGCCUUUGAUACUGGGUGUCUGGAGUAUGGAAGAGGUGAGUGGAAUUCCGAGUGUAGAGGUGAAAUUCGUAGAUAUUCGGAGGAACACCAGUGGCGAAGGCGGCUCACUGGUCCAUUACUGACGCUGAGGUGCGAAAGCGUGGGGAGCAAACAGG